AUACGGAGGGUGCAAGCGUUACUCGGAAUCACUGGGCGUAAAGCGCGCGCAGGCGGCUUGAUAAGUUGGAUGUGAAAGCCUACGGCUCAACCGUAGAACUGCAUCCAAAACUGUCAGGCUAGAGUGUGGGAGAGGAAGAUGGAAUUAGUUGUGUAGGGGUAAAAUCCGUAGAGAUAACUAGGAAUACCAAAAGCGAAGGCAAUCUUCUGGAACAGUACUGACGCUGAGGCGCGAAGGCGUGGGGAGCAAACAGGAUUAGAAACCCUAGUAGUCC
rnacentral:rRNA from 1 species